rnacentral:lncRNA from 1 species
GCUAGUGCACUCAAAUUGAGAACACAGCUUCACAGGCAGAACACAACACACAGAUGCAAGGUCUCCUGAUGGCAGAAAACCUUAUAACCAGAUGCUUCAGGUGACUACAGCCAGCUCCAGAGGUUCCAAAGAUCUUAAAGAUGUCCCAGAAAAGUUCUAGAGUACUAUCAGAUCUCACACUUUGCCUUGGAAGCUGUCAUUCCCCUCCAUUGGCCCCACAACUGCAGUAUAAUCUUCAGUGACAGGAGAAAAUCGACCUUGUUUGUACAGAAGUCUCAGCAGGAAUAGGCAGAUGCCUGUUUUUGCUGCCAAGGAUGGAGGAUUGGAAUGGGCCCAUUAUAUAUUUUGAGGCUUUGAAGAAAAGUCUCAGGAUAUGUUUUCCCAUUAAAAUACUGUUAUAAACAAUUAGA